CCUACGGGCGGCUGCAGUGGGGAAUAUUGGGCAAUGGGCGAAAGCCUGACCCAGCGACGCCGCGUGGGCGAUGAAGGCCUUCGGGUUGUAAAGCCCUUUUAUGCGGAAAGAACAGCCUUGAAACGAAUAAUUUCAGGGUUUGACGGUACCGCAGGAAGAAGCACCGGCUAACUCCGUGCCAGCAGCCGCGGUAAUACGGAGGGUGCAAGCGUUGUUCGGAAUUAUUGGGCGUAAAGGGCGCGUAGGCGGUUGUGAAAGUCAGAUGUGAAAUCCUUUGGCUUAACUGAAGAACUGCAUCUGAAACUUCAUAACUCGAGUACAGGAGAGGGAAACGGAAUUCCCGGUGUAGAGGUGAAAUUCGUAGAUAUCGGGAGGAACACCAGUGGCGAAGGCGGUUUCCUGGCCUGAUACUGACGCUGAGGCGCGAAAGCGUGGGGAGCAAACAGGCUUAGAUACCCUAGUAGUC
rnacentral:rRNA from 1 species